rnacentral:rRNA from 1 species
ACACAUGCAAGUCGAGGGGCAGCAUCAUCAAAGCUUGCUUUGAUGGAUGGCGACCGGCGCACGGGUGAGUAACACGUAUCCAACCUGCCGACAACACUGGGAUAGCCUUUCGAAAGAAAGAUUAAUACCGGAUGGCAUAGUUUUCCCGCAUGGGAUAAUUAUUAAAGAAUUUCGGUUGUCGAUGGGGAUGCGUUCCAUUAGGCAGUUGGCGGGGUAACGGCCCACCAAACCAACGAUGGAUAGGGGUUCUGAGAGGAAGGUCCCCCACAUUGGAACUGAGACACGGUCCAAACUCCUACGGGAGGCAGCAGUGAGGAAUAUUGGUCAAUGGACGAGAGUCUGAACCAGCCAAGUAGCGUGAAGGAUGACUGCCCUAUGGGUUGUAAACUUCUUUUAUACGGGAAUAAAGUUAGCCACGUGUGGCUUUUUGUAUGUACCGUAUGAAUAAGGAUCGGCUAACUCCGUGCCAGCAGCCGCGGUAAUACGGAGGAUCCGAGCGUUAUCCGGAUUUAUUGGGUUUAAAGGGAGCGUAGGCGGGUUGUUAAGUCAGUUGUGAAAGUUUGCGGCUCAACCGUAAAAUUGCAGUUGAUACUGGCGACCUUGAGUGCAACAGAGGUAGGCGGAAUUCGUGGUGUAGCGGUGAAAUGCUUAGAUAUCACGAAGAACUCCGAUUGCGAAGGCAGCUUACUGGAUUGUAACUGACGCUGAUGCUCGAAAGUGUGGGUAUCAAACAGGAUUAGAUACC